CGGCGAGUGAAGCGGGAACAGCUCAAAUUUGAAAUCUGGCCCUUGGGUCCGAGUUGUAAUUUGCAGAGGAUGCUUUUGGUGCGGUGCCUUCCGAGUUCCCUGGAACGGGACGCCUUAGAGGGUGAGAGCCCCGUACGGUUGGCCACCAAGCCUGUGUAAAGCUCCUUCGACGAGUCGAGUAGUUUGGGAAUGCUGCUCAAAAUGGGAGGUAUAUUUCUUCUAAAGCUAAAUACUGGCCAGAGACCGAUAGCGCACAAGUAGAGUGAUCGAAAGAUGAAAAGCACUUUGAAAAGAGGGUUAAAUAGCACGUGAAAUUGUUGAAAGGGAAGGAUUUAUGACCAGACUUUUUCUGGGGGGAUCAUCCGGUGUUCUCACCGGUGCACUUCCCCCAGUGGAGGCCAGCAUCGGUUUCGGCCGGGGGAUAAAAGCUUCGGGAAUGUGGCUCCUUCGGGAGUGUUAUAGCCCGUUGCAUAAUACCCUGGCGGGGACCGAGGUUCGCGCAUUGCAAGGAUGCUGGCGUAAUGGUUAUUAAUCACCCGUCUUGAAACACGGACC
rnacentral:rRNA from 2 species